rnacentral:rRNA from 1 species
GACAGAGGAUGCAAGCGUUAUCCGGAAUGAUUGGGCGUAAAGCGUCUGUAGGUGGCUUUUUAAGUCCGCCGUCAAAUCCCAGGGCUCAACCCUGGGAGGCGGGUGGAUACUACUGGACUAGAGUACGGAAGAGGAGAUUGGAAUUCCUGGUGUAGCGGUGAAAUGCGCAGAUAUCAGGAGGAACACCAACAGCGAAGGCAGAUCUCUGGGACGUAACUGACGCUGAGACGCGAAAGCGUGGGGAGCAAACAGG